rnacentral:rRNA from 1 species
CAAGGGAUCUCGACCUCUCGCCUAGAGAGUGGCCAAGUGGAUUAGCUAGUUGGUAAGGUAAUGGCUUACCAAGGCGACGAUCCCUAGCUGGUCUUAGAGGAUGACCAGCCACACUGGAACUGAGACACGGUCCAGACUCCUACGGGAGGCAGCAGUGGGGAAUAUUGCACAAUGGAGGGAACUCUGAUGCAGCCAUGCCGCGUGUGUGAAGAAGGCUUUCGGGUUGUAAAGCACUUUCAGUGGGGAGGAAAGGGUAUGUUUUAAUAGAGCGUAUCUGUGACGUUACCCACAGAAGAA